UACGAAGGGGGCUAGCGUUGUUCGGAAUCACUGGGCGUAAAGGGCGCGUAGGUGGCCCGGUCAGUCUUUGGUGAAAGCGCGGGGCUCAACCCUGCGUCGGCCAGGGAUACUGCCGCGGCUCGAGCACUGUAGAGGCAGGCGGAAUUCCGGGUGCAGCGGUGGAAUGCGUAGAGAUCCGGAAGAACACCGGUGGCGAAGGCGGCCUGCUGGGCAGUUUAGCUGACACUGAGGCGCGACAGCGUGGGGAGCAAACAGG
rnacentral:rRNA from 1 species